CUCAUCCUUCUUUUCUCCCUCUCUUUUUUUUGCUGAAUACCUAGCCACUGCAUUCUUUAUAUACCCAAUUCGAGCUCCAUAUUAUCACACUCAUCUUGAUCAUAUCUGCAAUUGCCAAGCUCGAAGAUGGCUCAUUCUCUCAGAUCAAAUGUUGGUCAGCCACUGGGGAACGGACGCCCACCACUGGGAUACAGACGCCCACCACUGGGGAACGGACGAGCAGGAGAAACUCAUGGUCAAACACGGAGGCAAUCGAAGGCUGAUCGGAGUCGUCGAACAUGGAAUGAAAGAGAGGAGGUGUUUCUCCUAGGUACGUUGAAAGAUCUUAUUGCUCGCGGAUGGAAGGCUGAUAAUGGAUUUCGGGGCGGUUACCAUCAAAAAAUUGAAGCCGAAAUGCGCCGAGAAUUUCCAGGUACUGAUAUAAAGGC